GCUUGUGGGAGCAGAAAGCCAGAGUUGGUCUGCCUUGGUGGUGGCCUCACUUGUGGGGCUGCUGCUGAAUCUUCCUGGUGAGCUCCCCACCCUACCCCCCACUUGCCUGCCAGAUGGGGAGAGCGGGGCACAGGAGGGUCCCACUGGGGGCGCCUGGAGGGAAGAAGAGGGGGAGGGACGGGGCCAGAAUCUCGGCCUGGGCAUCUGCCUUUUUUCAAAUGUGGUUGCUCCAGAGGCCAAAACCCAUAGCCGAAGGCCCUCUUUCGUCCAAGUUCUGCCUGGUGGGCAGGGCACCCCCACCUGUCUCAGUGGCGGGGGUGCCUUGUCAGAGGCUGCGCUGCCCUCCCUCAGGCUGCCUGUUCUCAGAGGCUGGGCACAGCUGCCUGCUGAGCUUCAUACAGGUUCCUGGAAAGGCAGUGCCCCCAUGGGCCCCAGGUCCUGACUUCAGGCCUUGGAUUUAUUAGCCGGUGAUGAGGUAAGGUAGCUGGAGGGUGGUCACAGCUGUUGUGGACACUCAGGCUCUGCAGGGACAUUUCUGGAUCCCCCACCUUCCUCCUUUGGGGAGAGGCCAGGUGCCAGCCCAAGCAGCCUGAGCAGCUUUGUGACCUCCAGCCCUGCGCUCAUCCACAUACUUCCAUCUUUCUGAGCCUAUGGAGUAUCUGGGGUUGACAAAGAGGGGUGAGAGAACCAAAUUCGCCCAUCACUCUCCCUACAAGUGCCCUGAAUGCUGGGCUGCAGGCCUUUGGGGUCAGAUCCCCUGGGUGUGGGAUCUGCUGUGUGUGGGUCCUGCCUGGUACAGGACAGCUUUGCUGGUUCCUCUUCAUCUGCAAAGCUAGAGAGGCCUCCCCUUGGCACAGAGAUGGGUUGGUGGCCUGGCGGCAGGACUUGAGCUCUGGCUGCUCAGAGCUGUGAGGGUGGCGCCCUCUGGAGGAUGCUCUGGGAAAUACGGUCUUUGUGGGCAUCCUGGUCCCACCUGACCUGUGCUACCCUGUGAUCCAGCUUUCCACUUCUGUGUAUUUAUCCAAAGGAAACAAAAUCACCAUCUUGAGAAGCUACAAACACCCAGGGCUGAAUAUGGACAUGUUUCCUGGAAAAACCUCCCUGCCCUGUGCCCCGCAGCUCUGGCAUGCUAGCUUUCCAUGAUUUUUCUCCCUCUUCUCAAUCCAGGGAUGGCACUGUCCCUACUUACCAAUGAAGAAGCAUCUCUGAAAGAUCCCGUAGCUUUACAGGCCAGGCCAGGGCUGAGUGGAGUGCCCGACUCACUGGAAGGGCAUCCUGCACGCGCCUCAUGGCCCUGCUGCCCUGGGGGGACAGGUACACCUUGGGUCCUUGCUCCUUAUACUCCUUCCUCCUCAUGCUUCUUUUAUCCAUUACCUGGCACGUCCCAACGGACCCUGACUCUUCCUGGGGACCUACAGGCCAGGACCUGCCAUUGAGGCAUAAACCAUGUUUCAGGGCCAUUUCUAGGACCCCUUACAAACCAUCUGGCAUUUGAGCUGUUGAAAGUGCUGGUGAGUGGAGGCAGCCCUGGAAGGGAUGUCCCCACAGUCCUGGCCUUUUUCCUGGUGACAGUCUAGGUAGAGCCCGCAUGUCAGACAUUUGACAGACAAUGAGUGUCUAUUCCCUGUGGCUGCCAGACACAUGCAGAUAGUCAGUGGACAAAAUCAUUAAGUUUCUGCCCUUGAGAAGCUGACAUUCUGUAAGGGGAGGGGCAGUAAAUUAAAAAAUGAAUAAAAUAUAAAGUGUCAGGAGAAGUUAAGUGCUAGGGAGAAAAACAGGGCUGGGAGUAGGUUGUACAGUUUGCUGUUGUGGCAAAAUAUAACUUAGCAUAAGCUUUCCCACUUGUGAGUGUACAAUCCAGAGGCUGAGUGCAUUCACAAUACUGGGUCACCAUCACUGUCCAUUUCCAAGGGACGAAGUUCUAAACACAGUGGCCAGAGAGGUAGAAGGUGGCAUCUGAGCACCGGCUGGAGCAGGAGGGGACAGGUUCCUGAUGCCAGAGCAGUGGGUGGGGAGGAUCAAGGCCCAGGGUGGAAGCAGACCCCUGUCUGAGGCUCUGGAAGGCUAUGCGGUUGGAGCAGCAUGAGUGGGGGACCCAUGGGCUUCAAGAGGUGCCUGGCGGCUGCAUGUCCUGAUCUGAAGUUUAACAAGAGUCCUGUGGCUUCUGGGUAUGACUAGAUGCUGGGGGCAAGGGGCGGCGGGGCAGGGAGCCUACUCACAGACUCCGAGGCAGCGGCAGCGUGUCUGGGUGCAGGUCUUUUGUUUUCCGGCCAUUGGGAAGCAUUGGAGGUUUGAGGGAGAAGAGGGAACUGGGGAUCUCUGAGAGCAGGAGCAUGGCGGCACCAUGCAGGGUCCUGCACUUCUGGAAAGCAUCAAGUUCCCUCCUGAGACUGGCGGCCUUCUCCCCACCACUCCCUGGGGGAGCUGGAGUAGGGAGCGCUGGAUUCUUGUUGGGUGGCAGCUGGGUGGGAGUCUUGAGACCAUGUGGGGGGAUAGACAGGAGGACAGUAGGGAGUGGGGAACCCAGGAUGCAGGUCGCUGUGGGUUCAGAGGACUGCGGGGACCCGGAGGAGGGCAGCUGGGAAGAUAAGAGGGCAGCUAAAAUCAGUGCGGCUGUUGGGUGAGUUGGUGGGAGCAAGUGCAGGGAGGGCAGGAGAGAAAUCAGUAGAGGAGAGAACAGGAUGUGGGGGCCUUGAAAUCGGUGCAAACAGGACAGCAGCGAUUUGGGGCAAGGACUGCGGAGGACAUGAGAGUCUAUGGGCGACUGCAGUCAGGGCACGGAGUGGGGUGAGUGGUCUAGUCUCUGGCUGUGACCUAAAAAGUGGGGAGCCACGGGUCUGGAAGUAGGGGGGUCAUGCAGCCCACUGGGGGUAGCGUAGAAGGGGGGCUGCAGGGGGAGCGGGCUCAGGUAGGCGCAGCAUGGCUGGACUGGGAGGGAGCUACUAGAGCGAUGGCCGGGAAGGCCCAUAGGUAAGUGAGAGGUUUCCAUUUGGGUCAAAACUAGAUGCUGCAGAUGGUGGCCUGAAGAUGUGUUUAGUUUGACCCACAUAAUUUUAAAGAGUGUUUUUGUUAACUAGUUGACAGUAUUUAAAAGAUAGAUUUCACAUAAAAAUUUGGAUAUCAAGCUUCUCUUUAAAAAUCAGAAUUUCUGGCCAUGUGGGGUCACUGCCUGGAGCUCUGUGGUAGCUGCUGCCCCUGGGUUAGAGUAUAUCUGUCCACUCACUACAGCCUAGCUUGUCCCCAAGCCCAAGGGACCCACCCCAGCCAGCCACCUGGUCUCCCACGUUCGAACCAGAGUCCUGCAGUCACUCAGACAUUAGGCGGCAGCUUUCAUUCUGUUGUCAUAAGAUGAGCCAGGCCAGCUUCCUAAGCAAAUGACUCUAAGAAUGUCCUGCUGGAAAACCCAACAGGGCUUCUGGACAGGAGAGGAGAACUGGGUCACUCAGAGUUUCCAGGCCACAGGGGCAGGCUGGGUGGGCUGGACAAAACACAGGCCUGGGUUCCCACCCUGCCCGAUGCCCCACCCUGGGUCAUGUCUGCACGUUCAUGAAAUGAGGGUGGGUACUUUCCUGUUCUGCAAAGUGACCCAGAGUGAGAGGUUGACAGGGCCUAGUGACUGGCAAACAAAAGGUACCUUCCCCCUGAACACACCCUGGUCCUGAGGGAACCUUCCCAGCUCCUUUGGUCCCCUGGCUCCUCCUGCGACUAGCGAGUGGAGCCACUGCCCAGCCUUGUUUGUGAGGCCUCCCAGGAGGGAAGGGGCCCCUGGAGGCAGAGCAGGAGGAAGGGGCUCCUGGGCAGGGAGGGGGGCUACCCCCGCCUCCCACGAGGAUCCUGAGUUCUUGGCUUGGUACUCAAGAUUCCUACCCCUGCCUGGCCUUGUCACCCCUCCUCUGGGGGAGCAGGGGACGAGGAGGAAAGAUCAAGGGGGUGGAAGGCAGCACCUGGCCCUGAGACUCCCCCAUGGGUUCAGGGAGGCUUCUUAAGCCCUUUCCUUGAAGGCAACAGAAAUGAACUCCCACCCAGGCAGGACAGAACCUGUGCAGCUCACAGGCCUGCAGGCAGAGCUGACCAGGUUACAGGGGCACUGCCCUGGCUCCCCCUGGCUCCUCUCUUCCCAAGCCUGCAUCCAAUGAUAUCACACUGGUACCCUGGACUAGGCCAAAGCAAGAGGAUUCGCACCUCCCCAAGCCGGCACCCCAGCGUUUCCCAGGACACUGCUGCUCUGGCUCAGCUGCCUUCCCUCCUUAGGGGGUCUCAGGGCAAGGACAGACCUUCAGGAAGAGAGUGUGGUCCCUGGGCCUGUGCUCACCUGUGUUUCUGAGGCGUGGGCCUGUCAUCUCACAGGAAGUGUGUCUGCCAAGUAGACCAAAACAGUAGCUGCCACACGGAUGAUUCCAGGCGAAGAGGCUUCACUGGGCCUCCAUCCCCUCAUCUACAAUAUAGAAACUUCCAAGGAAGCCUCACUGGCUCAGGGACCCAUCCCACCUGCCUUCAUUGCACCCAUCUCCCAUCCUGCCACUGCAGGACUUAUUACAAGUUGCCAAGGCCAGCGCCACAGGCCAACGGGAGAUCCUGGAAGAAGAUGGCACGGCCUAACAGAUCACAGAAGACUCCUACAUUUAGAAAAGUGGUGGACCAGGAGGCAUUCUGUUCUGUAGAACAAAGGCCCUAGGCUUUAGCCCACAGGACUUUUAUUAGGGAAGAUGAUAUAGGUUAAUAAGCAAAAUCAGGUGCAGUUAAUGAUAAAGCUACCUCUUAAUGGGUGUGCUUUUGCACGUGCGACAAAUUUGUUUACUGCAUUGUUCAGCAGUUUCAGUGGUAUCCAACAUCUCCCCCUUUUUUAUUUAUUUGUUGCAUAAGAACAGUCCUAGUAAAUUUUAAUUGUGGAGUGUUUUGA